AUGGCAGCGGGUGGAGCUAUUACAAACAAGACACUUGAUGAUGCUUUUUUGCUGAUUGAGAGCAUAGCUUUCCACCAACUUCAGUGGUAUAGUGAGAGACCCAUCUCAGAUUUGUUGGUUUGCUGUCACCACACUUCAACUCAGCAAGAAUGUCUUACACAAAAGCCAGAACCAGUUUCUCUGUGUGACAAGAUUGAGCUUUCAUGGAUUAUCUUUGAUGAUGAUGACACCAGCCUAGUUGACACACACACUGCAGAUCAUAUGGAUAUUAGCAUUCGAGAUUCAGUUUUGCAUUGUGAUGAUUCUUCCGUGGAUGAACCAGAGCUGCAGUUAGUUGCUUUUGAUAUUGAGAAGUCACCUUUAGUUCAUAUUGAUCAUGUGCUGGUAGAGCCAGAUAUGGAGAAGUUCUCCUUCGAUGAUGUCAGCUGCAUUGAUUCCUCAACACUUGAGCCUGAGAUGGAGAGCUUCAUGGUUGAUUAUGAUGAGGUGGAUUCAGAUGUCAAGGAGCCAAGCUCUACUAUUUUCACUUGUUGA
rnacentral:rRNA from 1 species